AUUGAACGCUGGCGGCAGGCCUAACACAUGCAAGUCGAGCGGAUGAAGGGAGCUUGCUCCUGGAUUCAGCGGCGGACGGGUGAGUAAUGCCUAGGAAUCUGCCUGGUAGUGGGGGAUAACGUCCGGAAACGGGCGCUAAUACCGCAUACGUCCUGAGGGAGAAAGUGGGGGAUCUUCGGACCUCACGCUAUCAGAUGAGCCUAGGUCGGAUUAGCUAGUUGGUGGGGUAAAGGCCUACCAAGGCGACGAUCCGUAACUGGUCUGAGAGGGUGAUCAGUCACACUGGAGCUGAGACACGGUCCAGACUCCUACGGGAGGCAGCAGUGGGGAAUAUUGGACAAUGGGCGAAAGCCUGAUCCAGCCAUGCCGCGUGUGUGAAGAAGGUCUUCGGAUUGUAAAGCACUUUAAGUUGGGAGGAAGGGCAGUAAGUUAAUACCUUGCUGUUUUGACGUUACCAACAGAAUAAGCACCGGCUAACUUCGUG
rnacentral:rRNA from 1 species